rnacentral:rRNA from 1 species
CCUACGGGUGGCUGCAGUGAGGAAUAUUGGUCAAUGGGCGCGAGCCUGAACCAGCCAAGUCGCGUGAGGGAAGACGGUCCUAUGGAUUGUAAACCUCUUUUGUCGGGGAGCAAAAGACGCCACGCGUGGCGUUCCGAGAGUACCCGAAGUAAAAGCAUCGCCUCACUCCGCGCCAGCAGCCGCGGUAAUAUGGAGGAUGCGAGCGUUAUCCGGAUUGAUUGGGUUUAAAGGGUGCGCAGGCGGAAGAUCAAGUCAGCGGUAAAAUUGAGAGGCUCAACCUCUUCGAGCCGUUGAAACUGGUGUUCUUGAGUGAGUGAGAAGUAUGCGGAAUGCGAGGUGUAGCGGUGAAAUGCAUAGAUAUCACGCAGAACUCCGAUUGCGAAGGCAGCAUACCGGCGCUCAACUGACGCUCAUGCACGAAAGUGUGGGUAUCGAACAGGAUUAGAUACCCUUGUAGUC